rnacentral:rRNA from 1 species
AUAUCAAUAAGGCGAGGAACAGAAACCAACAGGGAUUCCCUCAGUAGUGGCGAAUGAAGCGGGAAAAGCUCAAGUUUGAAAUCUGGUUAUAAAUCAGAGUUGUAAGCUGAUGAGGCGUCGACCGACGCGGUUCGGGCUCAAUUUCCUUGGAAUAGGAGGUCAUAGAGGGUGAGAACCCCGUCUGUGGCUCGAGUGCCGUCGUCUUUGUGUCGUGCCCUCUAAGAGUCGGGUUGUUUGGGAAUGCAGCUCAAAAUGGGUGGUAAAUUUCAUCUAAAGCUAAAUACUGGCGAGAGACCGAUAGCGAACAAGUAGAGUGAUCUAAAGAUGAAAAGUACUUUGAAAAGAGAGUGAAAUAGUAC